ACGAACGCUGGCGGCGUGCUUAACACAUGCAAGUCGAACGGAGCUAUAAGAGGAGCUUGCUUCUUUUAUAGUUUAGUGGCGGACGGGUGAGUAACGCGUGGGCAAUCUGCCCGUAGGUGGGGGAUAACACCGAGAAAUUGGUGCUAAUACCGCAUAACAUCAUUGGGAAGCAUUUUCUGAUGAUCAAAGGAGAAAUCCGCUUACGGAUGGGCCCGCGUCUGAUUAGCUAGUUGGUGAGGUAACGGCUCACCAAGGCGACGAUCAGUAGCCGGCCUGAGAGGGUGAUCGGCCACACUGGAACUGAGACACGGUCCAGACUCCUACGGGAGGCAGCAGUGGGGAAUCUUCCGCAAUGGGCGCAAGCCUGACGGAGCAACGCCGCGUGAGUGAGGAAGGCCUUCGGGUCGUAAAACUCUGUCAUCAGGGAAGAAACAAAUGACGGUACCUGAGGAGGAAGCCACGGCUAACUACGU
rnacentral:rRNA from 1 species